AAAGUGCUGGGAUUACAGGUGAUGUUUUUAAUUUUUUCAGGAACCCCUAUACUGUUGUCCAUAAUGGCAGUACUAAUUUACAUUCCCACCAACAAAGUA